AUCUGUAUUUAGCUCAAUUAAAUUGCUUCCAUAAUUAUUAAAGGGGAAUAUUCAUUUCUAAUGGCUCAGAGACACUCGGACUAGACCUGAAUAGGAUUUCAUCUCUGUGGGCAAAUCUUCUACAACUCUAAAUUUCCAAGAAGAACGUGAUUUGCAUCUGUUGGAAGAAUGAUUUCCAUCAUGGGAUAACUUGACCGUGGUCAUACAGUUCAUAUAUAUCAGAGAGUUCCAGUGAAGGGCACGGACUCUAGUUGGCAGCAGUCCUUCAGAGCUUCUGGGAGGAUGGGGCUCAGAAUCUCACCAAUCAAGAUCUCCUUCCACUGGCGCAGGGAUCUCGUUUACCAGGUGUGAUCGUCCCAUGACUCGGGUUCUAGCACAAGUAGGUAACGGCUGCAUGGCCACUGCUUGAUUCUUAUGGAAUGUUGAGAGGAGGGAGGAGGUGCCAAUGGAGGAGAGGAGAGAUGCGAGGCUUCUGUCUAAUAUUGUUCUCUUUAUAACAACAAUAGAGGCAGGGAAAGGGAUGGACUUUGGACUUUUAAUUUUAUGGGCAUGGAGAACUCCCAAGAUGAGGAACGUCUCUCUACUAAUGUGAAGCAUGUUUCAGUGCAAGUCAUCCACUAACUGAGAGACGACAGCCUGUGAAAAGAAUGCAUGGAAUACAGGAAAACAACCCCAGCUCUUUGAAAUAUCCACUUUUCCCCAAGUCUUUCCCAGGAACACAAGUGAAUAUGAAAUGAAUUAUAUAGGACUAAAAGUCUACAUCAGAACUUGGAACUUAACGUCAAUUAAAAUGUGUCUUGAUCCAGUAAUUAUAUAUAGUUGUGUCCAAUGUCUGUAGAUAGACAGGACAGGGUUUAUCCCUGCUUGUAAUUAGAGGCUAGAUAAGGAAAAUUCUAUAAGCUCCUAAAAAUGUGCUUCAUUUGAAAUAUUUUUAAAAAUAAUAUCUAGGUUUAUAUAUACAACUUUAUAUGUGUUAUCUCAUUUGGUUACUGUAACAGCAUUG
rnacentral:lncRNA from 1 species